AACGAACGCUGGCGGCAGGCUUAACACAUGCAAGUCGAACGCCCCGCAAGGGGAGUGGCAGACGGGUGAGUAACGCGUGGGAAUCUACCUAGAACUACGGAACAACUGAGGGAAACUUCAGCUAAUACCGUAUACGCCCUACGGGGGAAAGAUUUAUCGGUUCUAGAUGAGCCCGCGUAAGAUUAGCUAGUUGGUGGGGUAAUGGCCUACCAAGGCGACGAUCUUUAGCUGGUCUGAGAGGAUGAUCAGCCACACUGGGACUGAGACACGGCCCAGACUCCUACGGGAGGCAGCAGUGGGGAAUAUUAGACAAUGGGCGCAAGCCUGAUCCAGCCAUGCCGCGUGAGUGAUGAAGGCCUUAGGGUUGUAAAGCUCUUUCAGUGGGGAAGAUAAUGACGGUACCCACAGAAGAAGCCCCGGCUAACUUCGUGCCAGCAGCCGCCGUAAAAC
rnacentral:rRNA from 1 species